UACCAGCACCCCGAGUGGUCGGGACGUUUAUUGGGCCUAAAGCAUCCGUAGCCGGUUCUACGAGUCUUCCGUUAAAUCCAACUGCUUAACAGGUGGGCUGCGGAAGAUACUAUAGAGCUAGGAGGCGGGAGAGGCAAGCGGUACUCGAUGGGUAGGGGUAAAAUCCGUUGAUCCAUUGAGGACCACCAGUGGCGAAGGCGGCUUGCCAGAACGCGCUCGACGGUGAGGGAUGAAAGCUGGGGGAGCAAACCGG
rnacentral:rRNA from 1 species